ensembl:lincRNA Gm43153 predicted gene 43153
CCUUUGCUUCCCCUCUCCUUCCUCCCUCUCCCUCUCCUUCUGGUCUUUCUUACUGUCAUUUUGGAAAGGAAACCGAUCAUGGCAGAACUAAGAGAUUACAGCUGGAGCCAGGAACUUACGUCAGUCACGAGAUUACUUCUGGAAGAGUGAGCCGCUGUCCCCUACUUCAAGCCACUUGUGGUACCUCUGAUCCACACCCAAGCACCACACCAAAGCAAGAAGGAUGAGCUUCAGUUUCGAAGGCGCCAGCCACAAAUGAGAAAGUCACCUGGCCCGCAAAAUAAAUUCCUGUCAAAGCACUU